CUCCAGGCCCCGCCCAGACCUCGGCCCCGCCUCGGGGCCCAUUGCUCGGUGCCAGGGCCCUGGCGCCCGCCGCUUCCCGGUUCGCCCCGAGGAGCCGCGCUCUGUGCGCUGGGGGCAAGCGGGCAGCGAUCGGAGCGGGGCGGGGAAGCGGCCCGGGGCCGGGGGCUGGGGCUCGGGCUAGCGGCCUCCCCUCGCCGUGCGGAAGGGUUCCUCUGCCGGGCUCCCGGUUCGGGACCGGCAGAGCGUUGAUCUCUUUGGUUUGACGGGAAGGUUCCGGGACCGCGCUUUCUCGGGGAGGGCUGACAAGAGCCGAACUGUGGUACGAAACGCGGCCUGGUGGGUAACGGGCACAGAAGGUGCUGCUUCCAAACUGCCGCUGCUGCUCCUGGUGCCGAGAGGUAUCGCGGUGCUGGCAUCCCUGAGGAAGAACUGAGCACUUGUAACCGGCAGCGCUUUGGUAUUCGAGAGAGCCCGUUCCGUAAGGAGUGCUGGUGGAUGCUGUCUGAUACCAUCGGUUGUGAGCAUGUGCUGUGCAAAAUUUCCCUUUGGGAACAAAACAAAAUGCAGUGAUUCCAUUCUAUGAGGUUACUAUGGGCUUACUAGAGUGGGAUUUGGGGUCUGAGGAUUUGAUGCUUUAAUUAUUUGAGGAUUCUAUGAGGAUGCUUCAAGGAUACUAGUUCCUGUGACUCUAGGUUCUAUUAUUUCAGAUUCUGUGAUGAUUCUAUUAGUAUAGACUCUGUGAUUCUGUGAUAAUUUCCUGAUUCUAGAUUCUGUGAUUCUGGAAUGAUUUGGGGCUUCUAAGGUGUGAUGAUUCUGAUUCCUCACUAUGAGGACAGAUUCCCAGAUAUGUAGCUAUACAAAUGUGAUGUAUUUCCAUAUCCACCCCUGUACAUAGCGUGUGGAAUAGCUCUGAGUGUCUGACGCAUUCCAAGCCAAAUCAAUUUCCGUAUGUUGUUUAAAAAAAAAAAAAAAAAAACAAAAAGACCUCAAAAAUCACAAGAAAGAGUGGGCAGAACUUCAGGUUUAUCCCAUGCUUUCCUGUAAUAAUAAAUUUCAGAUUGCAGAGUAGUGUGCUUUUAACACUCACUCAAUAGUGCCUUUGUUUGAGUUACCAAUGUUGGAAAAGUUUUUCUCAAAAUCCUUCUUAGGUAUAGUUUUUACUGGAAUUGUACAAACUUACCUUUGGAUUUGUCCGGUGCUUAGUGCACAUUGAAUGGAAGAGCAAGAGUAUUUUUGCAGGUUUUACUUUUCUAUAGGUGUACCUAUGUUGAUCUGUAUAGACACACAGUAAUCUGUGUUACUUUAAAUUAUAAUUAUUUUACCUUCUCAUGUAUAAUUGUUAAUUCAUACAGCUUCUAAAUAUCAAUUUAUAUAGUUUAUGGAUAUCAGUUGGUAUCUGUCAUGACCCAACUCCAGGCUAUCCUGCACAGCAAAAUGCUUGCUUGGCUCCAUUCUAAACUUCCUCACUGUGUAGGUAUGGGGACAGGAAGGGCAAAGCUCAACUGGAACUGGAAGUGGAAAGCAAGAGUGGAAAGAAGAACAAGAAAGGCUUCUACAGGCACAUGAACCAGAAUAGGAAAGUCCAAGAUGGUGUACCUUUGCUAUUCCACAGUGGAGCUGAGUGCAUUCCCCAGCAGCACCGAGGGGGUGAGAUUUUUGAAGACAUUCACCUACAACCAGCAGCAGUACAUACACGUGGACAGCAACAUGGGGAUAUGUGUGGCCAAUACAGCCCUGAGCAAGCUUCAAGCCAAACACUUCAACAGCCAGUCCAGUUUCCUGGUGGACAUGUUCUACUGGCACAAUGACAAUGUGUGGAUGCCCUUUUUAUGGUGCAAAAGCCUGUCACCAGUGCUCUCCCUCUCUCCUCCCCAGCAGAGCCCAAGGUGAGGGUCUCUGUGCUGAAGUUGGGAUCCUUGCCCCAAACCAACUGGUCUGCUAGCUAUGCGAUGGGCUUCUACCUGCUGGAGAUGAAUGUGAAGUCAUUCCAGAAUGGGUGUGAGGAAAUGGAGUGUGUGAUGUUCAUGGACAUGUUCCAGAAUUGGAACUGGACCUAGCAGAUGCUGGUGGUGCUGGAGACCAGCCAUGUCUCCUCCUGAGUCACCCCUGCUGCCACUGCAAGGCAUGCUCUGCCCCCUUCCUAAUAAGAAGUCUUAGAGACUUCGACCCCAGGGCUUUCAAAUCCUUGGGGACAUUCUGCUGUGCAAGAAGAAAGAAGAGAAGUGGGAGGUCCUCACAGUUGUAUGGGGAUUCCUGUGUUCCAGCUUGUGUCCAUUGCCCCUUGUUCUGCUAUUGGGCACUGCUGAAAAGAGCCUGGCCCCAUCCACUUGACUCUUGCCCUUUAGAUAUUUACAAGAAUUGGUAAGAUCCCCUCUCAGUCUUUUCCCCAGGCUGAACAGUCACAGGUCUCUCAGCCUUUCCUUGUAAGGGAGCUGCUCCCUACAUCGAUCAUCUUUGCAGCCCCCUGUUAGGCUCUCUCCAGCAGUUCCCUGUCUGUACAUACUGAGGAGCCCAGAACUGGACACAGCACUCAUGUGGCCUCAUCAGAGCAGAGUAGAAGGAGAGAAUCACCUUCCUCGACCUGCUGGCCAUGAUCUUUAAUGCACCUCAGGAAAGCAUUGGCCUUCCUGACCACAAAGGCACACUGCUGUUUUAUGGACAACCUGUUGACCACCAGGUCACCCAAGUCCUUCUCCUCAAAGCUCCUUUCCAGCAGGUCAGCCCUAACCUGUAUUGACAACAAUGACUGUGCUGUCUUUGAAGUGUUUUUCAAUAACUCCCACAAUUAUCUCCUCCAUAAUUUUGCCAGGCAUCAAAGUGAGACUGGAAGGCCUGAAAUUGCAAAGGUCUUCUUUCUUGUCCUUCCUGGAAACUGGGAUGUUUGCCAGCUUCCCGUCAAGACGGACAUCUCAAGAUUCCCAGGAUCUUUGGAUAAACCCCAUGGGACAUAGAUUUACAUGCAUGCAACUGGAGCAGCAAAUCCCACACAAGUUCAUAGUCCGCUGGGAGCUUAUUGUUAGUGCAGUCAUGGUGCUCAACUCAGGGCUCCAGGUGUCCCAAGACCCAUCUUCAGUGUUCAAGACAGAGGUCAAAAACACAGUAUUUAACUCUGCUUGUUCUAAUGUCUGACUACUUGUGAGGUGAUCAGCCUCAUCAAGUAAUGAAGCAAUGUUAUCCACGGUCUUCCUUUUGCUGGUAACAUGCAUAAGCCCUUCCAGUGUUCCCCACAUUACUGGCCAGCUUCAGCUUUAACUGAGCUUUGACAGUAUAAAUUCUAUCCCUACAACGGUAGACAGCAUUUCUGUAGUUCCCCCAAGUUGCCUGAUCUGGUUCCCAGUGUCUAUUCACUUUCCACCUAAACUUGAGAAGUAAAACUGCUCAGAUGAGUCAGACUUCUGUUUCUCUUAUUGACUUCUAACAGUUUGAAAUUGCCUGCUCCUGUGCUCUUAAGAGAUGGCUUUUAAAAAGAGACCAGCGCUGAUGGACUCCAGUGCCUAGGGCAAGUGGUGCUGUUCUGGAGAUACACCAUCAUUCCUUAAAGAAUAUAUAAUUGGGAUCAUUGUCCUGGCUGGGUGGCUAAUAACAGAUUCCCACUUUA